CUCCCCAGGUUGAGUACAAGUAAAUAGGGCUUUGAGUUAUGAACUCUGAAAAGACAAACAUAAAGUUAAUCCCGUUAUCUGAGAAACAUAUUUACCUUGCAGGAAUAUAGUACUUUCUAUAUCAUAAUCUUGAUUAAGUUAACAUCUGGUAGUUAGAACAUUUUAUUCUCAUACUCUUUUAAUCCCCAAUUUGUUGAAUUUAAGAAACUUAACAUUUAUGUAUCACUGUGAGUGUAAGGAAUGCAAUAUGAUUGGAAUUUUAAAUAAGACAGUUUUAAAUAUAAGUGUAUAUAAGUCUACUCCCCCGUCUUAGUCCAUUUGGGCUGCUGUAACAAAACACUACAGGCUAGGCAGCUUAUAAACAACAGAAAUUUAUUUCUCACAGUUCUGCAGGUUGGGAAAUUCAAGAUCAAGGCAUCAACAGAUUUGGUGUCUGGUGAGGGCCUGCCUAGUGGUUCAUAGACAGCACCUUCUGCAUCUUCACAUGGCAAAAAGGGCAAACAAACUCUUAAUGCCAUCACCUUGGGGGGUUGGGAUUUCAAUGUAUGAAUUUUGGGGGCUACAAAUAUUCAGACCAUAGCAUUCUUACUAGAAAUAGAAAUGUCUCUAACUUAUAAACAAUAUAUCAGAAAACUAUAACAAACACCAUAUUUGAUAGUGAAUUAUUAGAAACACUAGGGUAACAAUGGGGACUAUUAACCAAAUCAGUGACCAUAGGAGAAUGAGUGGGAUGAGGAGGUAGAGAGCCAGCCGAAUGGAGAGUUCCAACACGUCUGCAGCUCUGGAAAGAAGUAAGCUUGGUGGGAAAGAAUCUGUGGGUGACCCAUAGGCGAGAGUGGAAGGCAGGAAUCAGAUGAGAUCAAUUAGGGAGAGAGAGUAGGGUGAGAAGAGAACCAAGAAGAGAAGCCAGGAACACUAUCUUAAAGGAGCCAUGACACUGGGGAGCCAGAGACUGAGUCUGGAAGGGAGCAGACAGAGGAACAGAAGCAAAGGGAAACCUGGAGGGAAACGGCACUGAGGAGGAGGGUGUUCUUCACAGAGUCAAAGUAGAGGGCAAGGAUUUAGGAGUCACGAUUUGCUACUGAGAGGCUACUGUUAACCUUGGCCAAAGCUGUUUCUGUGGAGCAGGGAGAGCUAAGGGCCGUGUGGGUGGGUAUUCAAUGGUAAAAUCAGAAGUAGAAGGAGAAAAUGAGCACUUCCAUCAGGAAGGGGAAGUGAGCUGUGUGUAGGCACCAUGAGAAGGAGGUGAAGUUCCAGGGGAGUUUUAUGAGGUUGUGGUGAAAUCAGCAUUUUUGUAAGUCUGAAGGGGAGCAAGCAGUGGAGAGCAGAGAGACUGACAAGAGACAGCAGAAAGCAGAUGACUGAUGGGGCAAGUUCCUGCUGAAGGUGGGAGGAAAGAGAUGCUCAUAAAAGUGAAUUACUGUUUCACCGUGGAGAAAACAUAAAUGAAAUCAUUUACACUGCCAUUCACUUAUUAAUUCAAUAAGUAUUGAUUAAGUUUCUACUAUGUCCCAGGCACUGAGCUGGUGCUGGAAAUAAGAUAGAAAAAAUUCCCACCCUAUAUUAUGUAAGUUCAUUAACUUAAAACAAAAGGAAAACCAAAUCCAGAAACAAACAAAAAUUUGGCCCCUGUCAGGCCAGCGCUAAAGGAGGCAUGGUCUUGGAGGAAGUGUGUGUGACUGCCAGGCACUGGAGUCCCUGAGCAGGAAUGCUGCUCAUCUCAAAGGCAACACAAAGUGGCAGCUGGGACCAAGGAUCCAGAAUUUGAAUACCCUCCCACCACAUUCUAUCAGAGAGUCCUUUAGGACUAUGUUAAUGUGAGAGAAAAAACUUUACUUCAAUGGCAAGUUUUAACUAUGAAUGAUUAGGAGAGUCUCCUUUCUCCUGAAACAUUGCUCUUAGGGACAGAGUGGAAAAGACUCCUGGACAUAUGGGCCAGAACUACAAUGGGUGUUAGAGAGAAGAGGUAUACGCCAUGUGUCAUAACUAGAAAGGAGAAAUGCAGGCUUGCUGUGCUUAAUGCACUCAAAACCUCAAUAAAGACAAAUGGCAAUAGGCAAAAAGAUGAUGACAAAUACUCAUCUCAUUUACAUCAGUAAACUUGAUAUCGAAACCUUCAACCCUCUGAAUAGCAAGUCACUGGUUCUUUUCUUUCACUUCCCCCUCCGGCCCCUGCCCCAACCAAUUUCAUUCAGAUACAGCUUAGCUGGACCAAAUCUAUCAAGUCAUGCUUAUCCUUAAUCCUCGUCAGAGUUCUUGAAGUCAUCAACUAACCAUAUUGAUUUUGAAAUAGAAAAAGAAAAGCAGAGAAGCUGUGUUUUGACCUCUCUCCUGAAACAUUGCUCUUAGGGACAUAUGACCCAGAACUACAACUGCAAUGCAUGUUAAAUAGAAGAGGUAUAGGCCAUGUGUCAUCAUU
rnacentral:lncRNA from 1 species